GCCGGGGUGGUGAAAUGGCAGACACGUCAGCUUUAGGAGCUGGUGCCAGCAAUGGCGUGGAGGUUCGACUCCUCUCCUCGGCA
rnacentral:tRNA from 2 species